rnacentral:rRNA from 1 species
UACGUAGGCAGCGAGCGUUGUUCGGAAUUACUGGGCGUAAAGAGUGUAUAGGCGGUGCUCUAAGUUCGGUGUGAAAUCUCCUGGCUUAACUGGGAGGGUGCGCCGGAAACUGGGGUGCUCGAGCGUGGGAGAGGAAAGCGGAAUUCCUGGUGUAGCGGUGAAAUGCGUAGAUAUCAGGAGGAACACCGAUGGCGAAGGCAGAUCUCUGGGCCGUAACUGACGCUGAGGAGCGAAAGCAUGGGGAGCGAACAGG